UACGUAGGGGGCAAGCGUUGUCCGGAUUUAUUGGGCGUAAAGAGCUCGUAGGUGGCUUGUCACGUCGGUUGUGAAAACCUGCAGCUUAACUGUGGGCGUGCAGCCGAUACGGGCGGGCUAGAGGCAGGUAGGGGAGAGUGGAACUCCUGGUGUAGCGGUGAAAUGCGCAGAUAUCAGGAAGAACACCGGUGGCGAAGGCGGCUCUCUGGACCUGUUCUGACGCUGAGGAGCGAAAGCGUGGGGAGCGAACAGG
rnacentral:rRNA from 1 species